CCCCUCCUCACUUGGGGCUGAUGCCAUUCUAGGCCUCAGUCUGUCCGCAUCCAGGCGCUUAUUAAAACAGCGUGUUGCUCCACACCGCCUCGUGUUGUCUGUUGGCGCGCUCUCUGGGUUCCAACCAAUGCAAGAGCCUUGGGUCUGGCCCUGAAACCCGCGAGGGGCUUCCGUCCACGUCCCCAGUGGACCUACCACCCCUCCAUCUGGGAGAGCAGGCCACAGCAGACGGACAAAGGAAGCUCCUCAGCCUCUAGUCGCCUCUCCGUGCAUGCACAUCGGUCACUGAUCUCGCCUACUGGCACAGACGUGUUUAUCGGCCAACCUGACCCUCACAAAAAGCUACCACUGAAGUGGACAGGCCCCUACACUGUGAUACUCAGCACACCAACUGCAGUGAGAGUCCGAGGACUCCCCAACUGGAUCCAUCGCACCAGGGUCAAGCUCACCCCCAAGGCGGCUUCUUCCUCCAAAACAUUAACAGCUAAGUGUUCGUCUGGGCCAAUUUCUCCUACCAAGUUUAAAUUAACCAACAUUUUUUUCUUAAAACCAAAACACAAGGAAGACUAACCACGUGCUUCCAGGAAUGGCCUGUAUCUACCCAACCACUUUCUAUACCUCUCUUCCAACCAAAAGUCUUAAUACGGGAAUAUCCCUCACCACGACCCUAAUACUGUCAGUAGCUGUCCUGCUGUCCACAGCAGCCCCUCCGAGCUGCCGUGAGUGUUAUCAGUCUUUGCACUACAGAGGGGAGAUGCAACAAUACUUUACUUACCAUACUCAUAUAGAAAGAUCCUGUUAUGGAAACUUAAUCGAGGAAUGUGUUGAAUCAGGAAAGAGUUAUUAUAAAGUAAAGAAUCUAGGAGUAUGUGGCAGUCGUAAUGGGGCUAUUUGCCCCAGAGGGAAGCAGUGGCUUUGCUUCACCAAAAUUGGACAGUGGGGAGUAAACACUCAGGUGCUUGAGGACAUAAAGAGAGAACAGAUUAUAGCCAAAGCCUCAAAACCAACAACUCCCCCUGAAAAUCGCCCGCGGCAUUUCCAUUCCUUUAUACAAAAACUAUAAGCAGAUGCAUUCCUUCCUAAGCCAGGAAAAAACCUGUUUGUAGAUCUAGGAGAACCAUUGUGCUUACCAUGAAUGUGUCCAGUUGUUGGGUAUGCGGGGGAGCUUUAUGAGUGAACAGUGGCUGUGGGACGGGAUAGACAUUCCCCCUUACUUACUGGCAUCCCAAAACUCCAGACUCACUUUCACUCCUCAGGAAUGCCCGCAGUCCUGGACACUUAUCAACCCAGUACGAGGGACGGUGUGCAUAUCCCGCAAGUGGACUGAUAAAACCCAUUGCUCUGUAGGUGAAAACCCGUGACCAAACCCUAACAGUCAAUGCCUCCAUAGCUGAGUGGUGGCCAAGGUUACCCCCCGGAGCCUGGUCUCCUUCUAACUUAAGCUACCUCAAUUGUGUCUUGUCAAAAAAGGCCUGGUACUGUACAAACACCACUAACCCUUAUGCCGCAUACCUCUGCCUAAGUGCACUAUGCGACAAUCCUAGGAACACCAGCCGACAAUGGACUGCCACUGACGGAUUCCUGUGGAUAUGGGGAACCCAGGCUUACUCACAGCUACCUUAUCACUGGCAAGGUACUUGCUUCCUAGGCACAAUUCAACCUGGAUUCUUUUUAUUCUGAAGCAGGCGGGCAACACCCUCAGAGUCCCUGUGUAUGAUAACCAGAGAAAAACGAUCCUUGGAGGUAGGAGGGAGCCAAAGAUUGUGAGAGGACGAGUGGCCUCCGCAACGGAUCAUUGAAUACUAUGGUCCUGCCACUUGGGCAGAGGAUGGUUCAUGGGGUUAUCGCACUCCCAUAUAUAUGCCAAAUAGAGCGAUUAGACUACAAGCUGUUCUAGAGAUAAUCACUAACCAAACUGCCUCAGCCCUAGAAAUGCUCGCGCAACAACAAAACCAAAUGCGCGCGGCAAUUUAUCAAAACAGGCUGGCACUAGACUACUUGUUAGCAGAAGAGGGUGCGGGCUGUGGUAAGUUGAAUAUCUCCAAUUGCUGUCUUAACAUAGGCAAUAAUGGAGAAGUGGUUCUAGAAAUCGCUUCAAACAUCAGAAAAGUAGCCCGUGUACCAGUCCAAACCUGGAAGGGAUGGGACCCAACAAACCUUCUAGGAGGGUGGUUCUCUAAUUUAGGAGGAUUUAAAAUGCUGGUGGGGACAGUCAUUUUCAUCACAGGGGUCCUCCUGCUUCUCCCCUGUGGUAUCCCAUUAAAACUCUUGUUGAAACUACAGUUAACCUCCUGACAAUACAGACGAUGCUCCUGCUACAGCGGCACGAUGGAUACCAACCCGUCUCUCAAGAAUACCCCAAAAAUUAAGUUUUUCUUUUUCCAAGGUGCCCACGCCACCCCUAUGUCACGCCUGAAGUAGUUAUUGAGAAAGUCGUCCCUUUCCCCUUUUCUAUAACCAAAUAGACAGGAAUGGAAGAUUCUCCUCGGGGCCUGAAAGCUUGCGGGAUGAAUAACUCCUCCUCCUCAGGCCCAGUCCCAAGGUACAAACUUGCACCAGCAGCAAGAUAGCAGAGGCAGGAAGAGAGCUGGCUGGAAGACACAUACCCCCUGAAGAUCAAGAGGGAGGUCGCCCUGGUACUACAUAGCAGUCACGUUAGGCUGGGACAAUUCCUGUUUACAGAGGACUAUAAAACCCCUGCCCUGUCUUCACUUGGGGCUGAUGCCAUUUUAGGCCUCAGCCUGUCUGCAUGCAGGCGCUCAUUAAAACAGCGUGUUGCUCCA
rnacentral:lncRNA from 1 species